AUGUUCUGGGAAUGUUCUGGAAUGUUCCUCCCACGGGAUCAUAGGGAUCCGGGGUUUGGAAUGGGAGGGGUUUGGGAUCAAGGAUUUGGGAUCUGCAGGGAUCUCCAUCCCAGGGAAAUCCGGAAAUGUUCUGGAAUGCUCUUCCCGUGGGAUCACACCGGGUUUGGGAUCCAGGACUGGGAUCUGCAGGGAUCUCCAGCCCAUGGAAUUCUGAGAAUGUUCUGGAAUGUUCCUCCCAUGGGAUCGGGCGGGGUUUGGGAUGGGAGGGGUUUGGGAUCCAGGGUUGGGAUCUGGAGGGAUCCCCAUGGAAAUAUUCCCGGUGGGAAUGGUGUCUCCUCUUCCCAUGGGUUUGGGAUCUGCAGGGAUCUCCAGCCCAUGGAAUUCUGGGAAUGUUCUGGAAUGUUCUUCCCGUGGGAUUGGGUGGGGUUUGGAAUGGGAGGGGUUUGGGAUCCAGGGUUGGGAUCUGCAGGGAUCUCCAGCCCAUGGAAUUCCGGGAAUGUUCUUCCCAUGGGAUCACACAGGGUUUGGGAUCCAGGACUGGCAUCUGCAGGGAUCUCCAUCCUAUGGAAUUCUGGGAAUGUUCUGGAAUGUUCUACCCAUGGGAUCACAGGGAUCCGGGGUUUGGGAUGGGAGGGGUUUGGGAUCCAGGAUUUGGGAUCUGCAGGGAUCUCCAUCCCAUGGAAAUCCGGGAAUGUUCUGGAAUGUUCCUCCCAUGGGAUCACACCGGGUUUGGGACCCAGGGUUGGGAUCUGGAGGGAUCCCUGUGCCCAGAUUCCCAGUGGGAAUGGUGUCUCCUCUUCCCAUGGGUUUGGGAUCCUGGGGUUGGGAUCUGCAGGGAUCUCCAUCCUCUGGAAUUCCCGGAAUGUUCUGGAAUGUUCUUCCCAUGGGAUUGGGUGGGGUUUGGGAUGGGAGGGGUUUGGGAUUUGGGAUCUGCAGGAUCUCCACCCUAUGGAAAUCUGGGAAUGUUCUGGAAUGUUCCUCCUGUGGGAUCAUGUGGGGUUUGGGAUGGGAGGGGUUUGGGAUUUGGGAUCUGCAGGAUCUCCAUCCCAUGGAAAUCCCGGAAUGUUCUGGAAUGUUCUUCCCGUGGGAUCAUGUGGGGUUUGGGAUGGGAGGGGUUGGGUUCCUGGGGUUGGGAUCAGGAAUGGGAGGAGUUCCACGGAAAGGGAGCGGGACUUUGGGAAUUCCAUGGGCAGGACCCAGCCCUGGACUGGGAUCUGGAAAUUUCCAUGGAGAUGGAGCGGGAUUUGGGAAUUCCCAUGGGAAUCCAGGGGGGAAUUUGGGAAUUCCAUGGGGAUGGCCCAGUCCUAG
rnacentral:lncRNA from 1 species